rnacentral:rRNA from 1 species
AGAGUUUGAUCCUGGCUCAGAACGAACGCUGGCGGCAGGCUUAACACAUGCAAGUCGAGCGCCCGCAAGGGGAGCGGCAGACGGGUGAGUAACGCGUGGGAACAUACCCUUUGCUACGGAACAACUCCGGGAAACUGGAGCUAAUACCGUAUGUGCCCUUCGGGGGAAAGAUUUAUCGGCAAAGGAUUGGCCCGCGUUGGAUUAGCUAGUUGGUGGGGUAAAGGCCUACCAAGGCGACGAUCCAUAGCUGGUCUGAGAGGAUGAUCAGCCACAUUGGGACUGAGACACGGCCCAAACUCCUACGGGAGGCAGCAGUGGGGAAUAUUGGACAAUGGGCGCAAGCCUGAUCCAGCCAUGCCGCGUGUGUGAUGAAGGCCUUAGGGUUGUAAAGCACUUUCACCGAUGAAGAUAAUGACGGUAGUCGGAGAAGAAGCCCCGGCUAACUUCGUG